rnacentral:tRNA from 1 species
GGAGAGGUCGCAUAGUCCGGCUUAGUGCGCUGCACUCGAACUGCAGUGAGCUCGCAAGAGCUCCGUGGGUUCGAAUCCCACCCUCUCCG